CCUACGGGAGGCUGCAGUGGGGAAUAUUGGACAAUGGGGGCAACCCUGAUCCAGCCAUGCCGCGUGUGUGAAGAAGGCCCUCGGGUUGUAAAGCACUUUCAGUGAGGAAGAACGCCUGGUGGUUAAUACCCAUCAGGAAAGACAUCACUCACAGAAGAAGCACCGGCUAACUCCGUGCCAGCAGCCGCGGUAAUACGGAGGGUGCGAGCGUUAAUCGGAAUUACUGGGCGUAAAGCGCGCGUAGGUGGCUUGAUAAGCCGGUUGUGAAAGCCCCGGGCUCAACCUGGGAAUGGCAUCCGGAACUGUCAAGCUAGAGUGCAGGAGAGGAAGGUAGAAUUCCCGGUGUAGCGGUGAAAUGCGUAGAGAUCGGGAGGAAUACCAGUGGCGAAGGCGGCCUUCUGGACUGACACUGACACUGAGGUGCGAAAGCGUGGGUAGCAAACAGGAUUAGAUACCCGUGUAGUC
rnacentral:rRNA from 1 species